AUUGAACGCUGGCGGCAGGCCUAACACAUGCAAGUCGAGCGGAUGAUGGGAGCUUGCUCCUUGAUUCAGCGGCGGACGGGUGAGUAAUGCCUAGGAAUCUGCCUGGUAGUGGGGGACAACGUUUCGAAAGGAACGCUAAUACCGCAUACGUCCUACGGGAGAAAGCAGGGGACCUUCGGGCCUUGCGCUAUCAGAUGAGCCUAGGUCGGAUUAGCUUGUUGGUGAGGUAAUGGCUCACCAAGGCGACGAUCCGUAACUGGUCUGAGAGGAUGAUCAGGCACACUGGAACUGAGACACGGUCCAGACUCCUACGGGAGGCAGCAGUGGGGAAUAUUGGACAAUGGGCGAAAGCCUGAUCCAGCCAUGCCGCGUGUGCGAAGAAGGUCUUCGGAUUGUAAAGCACUUUAAGUUGGGAGGAAGGGUUGUAGAUUAAUACUCUGCAAUUUUGACGUUACCGACAGAAUAAGCACCGGCUAACUCUGUGCCAGCCGCCGCCGUAAUAC
rnacentral:rRNA from 1 species